AAACUGGCUCGAGCAUAACAUCACUACUGGUAGCAUCUCUGGCUCCUUGUUUUUGGAGUAAAACACGGUGGAAGCUGAAUUAGUGAGGAUGACUCCUGCUCCUGUCAUUUCUAAGCUCCUCACACAUCUUUACCUGCACAUGAGGAAAAUCACUCCUGUAGAAUGCAGAUGUUCAGAGGGAGAUGAUGCCACAUCUGGUCCAGCUGAUGGAAGGUCUUGAAGUUCUCUGACUGGCCUCGACUGAAGAUGGUCGUCUCACUGGAUUUAAGGUUCAGAUGCUCAGUAACAAACUCCACCAAUGAGCCAACAGGGAAGCUUUAGGUUUAUUAAAUGUUGUUAUGAAGGUUUCGCUGUUUUUCUUUGUGAAUGCAAUGUGCUCCAACUGAAACUUGAAUUAGAACUUAGAAGUAAAUCCUUCCACCUGAAAGCAUUUAGUUGCAUUAAUAACCUCAUAACAUUCUAAUUUUCAUUCCGGUCUUGGUUGGAAAUAGAAUCUCUGUAUUGAUUCAGGUAAAAACUGAACUUCACAGCAUGUUGGAGCAAAACAACCAGAUGAAAACUGUGAUGGUGUUGGAUUGUCAGGCCGUAAUGUUGCAGCUCAAAGCAGCUUUUCUAUCUCGGUUUAUUCUGACAUUCAGCUAUGAAUCAACACAGCAGAUGGUGAUCCAUGCUGUGGAAGUCUCACAUCUCCUGAUUUAAUGGAGCUGCUUUGCACUUUUUACACUGUUUAUUCACCAACACUUUAUUUAAUAAAAGUCCCAUCUAGUUUUUAUGAGGAAUGUGGUGUUUUCAGGGAUGAGAAUUUUCCGCGGAUCCGCGGAAUUCCGAGUUUUUUUCCGCCGAAAGUAUAGUUUUUGUGAAUCGUGUAAAUCCGUUGAGAAAAUUGUAGGGGGGUAGGGGUAGGCAAGCGGCCGGCCGGCCGACGCGUCGCGAGCCGAGGCUUGUGAUGGCCAUCCCGCCGCCGACAUCUUUCGGCAACGCGCAUUGCAAAAUCAGAUACAGCUGUGAGAACGGAAAUCGGCAUUGCUAUCUGUAAACAUCACUCGCUAUUUAUGUUAAUGACAACAUCCGCC
ensembl:lncRNA